rnacentral:lncRNA from 1 species
UAGAAAGGCUGCCUCCGAGAAGAGAGGACGAUCCGGCCAUGGCGGCUGUGCCCGUCGAUUCAUCACUUCGACCAGAGAGAGGUUGUCCGAAUGUACGACAAUGGAGGCGUUCUGAAACCCCUGAUCCAGCAGAUGACAAAGGGCUAAAGAAAGGGCUUGGAUCUCCACCUGCAGAGCGGAAGAAGCUUCAACCCUUGCUGAGAAGAUAUCGGUAAGUUUGCCUUGGUGAUCUCUGGAAAUACUAGCAAUACUACCAUGUGUGCUACCUUGGUGAUAGGAGCCGUCAAUGUUGAUCUUCAGUGUACCAGGAUCCGGGGGACGCCAUAAAUGCCCCAUCUGAGAGACGGAGGACUUCUGGUGUGCAGAGGAUGGCGAAGACAGUCGAUCUACUUGGGAAUUUGUUAAAGCGGCUUCUACAACAACAGUCGGAUGAGGAAAUUUACCCCGGAAGAGGAAACCAUUUCGGCCCUUCCAGAUCUGCCACAGCACAUUUGCG